rnacentral:misc_RNA from 1 species
GAAAAGAACGAGAAGAAACCAUAAAAGGAGAUAGAUUCAAAGAGAAAUAAGCCAUAGUGUGAGUAGCAAAAUGCAACUUCAACGAACAUGCUGAAAGUAGAUCGAAGCAAAAUGUGAGGCACAGAGCUUAACAUCUUCUAGAAUCAGACUGAUCCCAUUGAUGGUUGUCACUAUUGAUCCAUGAAGCCCAGUAGAGAGAAUCAAUUUCAACUAUAAUAUUAGAGAAGCCAUGUUCACAAGCCACCUGCAACCCGAACAAUAAACCCUUCCCUUCUGUCAUUCCACUUCACUCACCAAGCUCUUGCAAAAACUAGGAACCAAAACUAAAACACCCUUAUGGUCCCUAAAAACAACUCCAUAACUUGUUUUGCAUAAACAGGUAAAGAAAAAGGCAUCUGCAUUAAGCUUAAUAACUCUCAUAAGAGGAGGAUUCCAAUGAGCAGACUAUAAUACACAGGGAGUCGAGAGAUCUUGUUAGCCAUUAGAUAGUUCUUCCAAUAACUUCAUCGCAGAACUGUGGAUCUCCAGUGGGG